GGUUCCGGUGCGUCGGCCGUCUUUUCCAAGGACCACGAGAGAGAAAGAAACCCCACCAAGCCCCACCCCUCCCGCCCACGGCGCACCCUCACUCGCCCGAGUGAUCAUCACCAACUGAACUGGAUUUGUGACCGGUUGCCUGCCCUACGCUCAGCGCAGCACGACACGGCACAACAACCCCAGACAUGCCCCAGACAUGGAACGGCCCUCGCCGGGACGGCAAUCCCGAUGCGAGGGCCUGACCACCAAGGAAGAAGCCCCUUCCCG
rnacentral:ncRNA from 1 species